GCGCUGAGUGGCUGAGUGGUCUAAAGCGCUGAUUGUUACGAAUCACUGCCAUCUCACUUCUGUCUGCAUUAGUUCAAGUCUAGACUCGGGCA